UUGAGUCUUGUACACGUUGGCGACGCAUGCGUGUCAUUAUUGUCAAGAUGGCCGGCCAAGACGUAGACGAAUUAUUUGACAUCAGGACAUCCUUGUAUAUUGGAAACUAUCAGCACUGUAUCAAUGAAGCUCAAAAGCUGAAAUUGUCUAACCCUGACCUGAAGUUACAGAGAGAUGUGAUUCUGUAUCGUUCCUACAUUGCACAGAGGAAGUAUGGGGUGGUCCUGGAUGAGAUUAACUCAGGGAAGUCAUCAGAACUCCAAGCUGUGCGAAUGUAUGCUGACUACAUGUCCAGUGACAGCAGGCGAGAAGCUGUAGUCAGAGACUUGGAUUCCAAGAUAAGUGGGAGUGUUGAUGUUUCCGACAGUGCAUUCCUUCUCAUGGCAUCAUCCAUAUACUACCAGGAACAGAACUUUGAUUCCGCACUUAGAACACUACAUCAGUCGGACAGUCUGGAAUGCAUUGCUCUUACUGUGGAGAUCUUGCUGAAACUGGACCGAGUUGACCUGGCAAAGAAGGAGCUGAAGCGUAUGCAGGAGCUUGAUGAGGAUAGCAUCCUUACCCAACUGGCUCAGGCCUGGUUCAACAUCUCUGUUGGUGGAGACAAGUACCAAGAUGCCUACUAUAUCUUUCAAGAGAUGAGUGACAAGCAUGCCUCCACCCCAUUGCUCCUCAACGGUCAGGCAGUGUGCUACAUGGCCCAGGGGAGGUUUGACGAUGCUGAAUCUGUGUUGCAAGAGGCGAUGGACAGGGACAGCAACAACCCGGAAACCCUGGUGAACAUGAUUGUCCUCACACAGCACAUGGGGAAGGCACCCCGAGGUGAGCAAUCGCUAUGUGUCCCAGUUGAAGGACUCCCAUCGAAGCCACCCAUUUGUUCGGGAUUAUCUCGUUAAGGAGAAUGAGUUUGACAGGAUAUCUCUCAACUACACUCCAUCUGUCAUGGCUUGAUCAAGACAUCUUACUUUAGGGAACGAAUCAUGGGCAGAAGCUUGUUAAUACCAUCCAUCAUCUCAGCUGUGUAUAAUCUUCAGCCACUAGCCAUUACAACAAAAUACAUCCUUUGUGAAGAGAUGUUAAUGGAGUGAAGCUCUAUAUGAGCCAUUAAUGUUGCACAAGAUACACAAGGGGGUAUUUGUGUACAGUCACGGUAGAAAACACUUAUUCAUGCAAUCAUUAAAGUCAUUUCUUUUCUGUUCUUAACAAACUUCACUCUUUUGUGGAUUUAUGAAAGUCCCCUGCUGAGAUGUGAGGCUGACUUGUAAGGCCUCAAAGGGUAUCUUGAAUACAGAAUUCAGAUUGUGUUGGACAAUGUAUAUUUAUUCUGUUGUAUCCUUGUAAUAAAAUCUUUACAUUUAAAA